rnacentral:rRNA from 1 species
UACGUAGGUGGCAAGCGUUAUUCGGAUUUAUUGGGCGUAAAGGGUUCGUAGGCGGUCAAGUAAGUUUGAUGUGAAAUCUCCAGGCUCAACCUGGAAACUGCAUUGGAUACUGCUUGACUAGAGUAUUGGAGAGGUAAGCGGAAUUCCUGGUGUAGCGGUGGAAUGCGUAGAUAUCAGGAGGAACACCGAUUGCGAAGGCAGCUUACUGGACAAUAACUGACGCUGAGGAACGAAAGCUUGGGUAGCAAACAGG